CAACCCCGAAGCCGCAGUACUCCACAAGCCUGGCUCCACUCGGCCUGCUCCAGAAAGCAGACUGCACCUGCUCCCCAUUUGCUUCAGACCCGGGUCGGUCGAGGAAUCAGAGUUCCCCUAAAUGCCAAGAGGGCGGCUCGGACCUGACGGUCCCCCCCACCCCCCACCCCCGGCGGGCGGGGCAGGCUCACUCGCACUCCCUCCCGGCCCUGCCCGCCUGCCUCUCCCACCCGGGACGCGCCUCCCUCCCUCAGCCCGGUGCCGAGAGCUCCGCGUCUCCACUGCUGUCUUCUCCCGCCGGGCCGGAUAGAAUCCGAGUCGGAGCAUGGAACCAGGGCAGCCCCGGGAGGCCCGCGAACCCGGGCCAGGGGCAGAGACCGCCGCGGUACCGCGCUGGGAGGAAGCCAAGACUUUCUAUGACAACCUCUCGUCCAAGAAGAAACCCAAAUCGCCAAAGCCUCAGAAUGCGGUCACCAUCGCGGUGUCCUCCAGAGCCUUGUUCCGAAUGGAUGAGGAACAGAGGAUCUACACGGAGCAGGGUGUCGAGGAGUACGUGCGAUACCAGCUGGAGCACGAGAAUGAGCCCUUCAGCCCCGGGCCUGCCUUCCCCUUUGUGAAGGCCCUGGAGGCUGUGAACAAGCGACUUCGGGAGUUGUACCCUGAUAGCGAAGAUAUCUUUGACAUUGUCCUCAUGACCAACAACCAUGCUCAGGUGGGAGUUCGUCUCAUCAACAGUAUCAACCAUUAUGACCUGUUCAUUGAGCGAUUCUGCAUGACAGGUGGGAAUAGCCCCAUCUGCUACCUCAAGGCCUACCACACCAACCUCUACUUGUCAGCCGAUGCAGACAAAGUGCGAGAAGCCAUCGAUGAGGGGAUUGCAGCUGCCACCAUCUUCAGCCCCAGCAGGGAUGUGGUUGUGUCCCAGAGUCAGCUUCGAGUGGCCUUCGAUGGGGACGCAGUACUCUUCUCCGAUGAGUCAGAGCGCAUCGUCAAGGCCCAUGGGCUGGACAGAUUCUUUGAGCAUGAGAAGGCCCACGAGAACAAACCUUUGGCGCAGGGCCCCCUAAAGGGCUUCCUGGAAGCACUGGGUAGACUGCAAAAGAAAUUCUACUCCAAGGGCCUGCGUCUGGAGUGCCCGAUUCGCACGUAUUUGGUGACCGCGCGAAGUGCAGCCAGUUCCGGAGCCCGGGCCCUCAAGACCCUGCGCAGCUGGGGCCUGGAGACGGAUGAGGCCUUAUUCCUAGCUGGAGCACCCAAGGGUCCCCUUCUUGAGAAGAUCCGUCCACACAUCUUCUUUGAUGACCAGAUGUUCCACGUGGCUGGAGCUCAGGAGAUGGGCACGGUGGCCGCCCAUGUGCCUUAUGGUGUGGCUCAGAAUCCCCGGCGGGCUGCCGCUGCGAAGCAGUCAUUAGGUGCACAGUAGCUGAGCCACCUUGCUCCAGGCCCCCUGUCACACUUUCUGAACUUCAUCUGGUGAACUUUUCUGGCUCCUCACCGUCCACCCUCCUGCAUGCUGCCGUCAACCCUCCAUGCCAGGUUCUUAGUACAUAUCCCUAACUAACCUGGAACUCCCCUACACAGACCAGGCUGGUCUUGAACUCCGACUGCCUUGGCCUCCUGAGGGCUGAGAUUAAAGGUAUGGCUUCAAAAACAAAUCUUAAAACCCUCAGAAAAUUUGAGCUGCCAUUUACUUAGUUUGCACAAUGUGUCUCCAGACCUCAGGAGUGGUGACUUCCUCUUCAUCUGAGUGACUCUGGGCAGAAGUGUGUGGAGUGGUCUCCUAUGGUACUUUCAAGAGAAGCAGGGCUCUCUGUAUAGAGACAAAAAUAGUGAUUUUUCUUUAACCCACUAUUUUUUUCCUGAGUUGGAGAUAGAAGUGGGGUUUUCUAUUUACAUCUUGCAGAGAAAAGAAAGAUGUUUGUCUGACACAGAAAGGAAAUUGGAGCACUAAACUGUUGCUCCAGGUUGGAACCAUUCCCUCUGGGAUGUCGUGUUUUGCCUGAUUCCAUGCAUGUGUUGGUCUGCUCUAGCUGCUAUAACAAACGACCAUAAACUGAGCAGCAUAGAAACUUAUUUCUCAGGCCAGGCAUGGUGGUGCAUGCCUUUAAUCCCAGCACUCAGGAGUCAGAUACAAGAGGAACUCUUGUGAGUUCAAGGCCGCCCCAUCUACAUAACAAGUUCCUAGAUGGCCAGGACUCUAAUAGAGAGAUGUGGUCUCAAAGAACAAACAAAUGAAUGAGCAAAGAACCAAAAAGAAAAAGCUCAAACUCCUUGGGGCAGAAAUCCAGAAUCAAGGAUUGGGCCCUUUGGUGUCUGCUGAGUAUCCUUUCUGUCUCAUCAGAGGCCACCUCACUGUGGGGUAGAGGGACAAAGAGGCUGUCUCGCUCUCUUCUCCAAAGACACUGGCCACAUUCAUGAGGGCAGACCCUCAUGAGCUAUUUCCUCUCACAGGCCGCACAGUCUAAUAUUAUCCACAGCUGAUUGUCAUCAUAGGAAUCAGGGGUGGGGGUGGACACAGAAGUCAGAGUCUCCCUUCUUUCUC